rnacentral:rRNA from 1 species
UGGGGAAUUUUGGACAAUGGGGGCAACCCUGAUCCAGCCAUGCCGCGUGAGUGAAGAAGGCCUUCGGGUUGUAAAGCUCUUUCGCGAGGGAAGAAAAUGCAAUGGCUAAUACCUAUUGUAUAUGACGGUACCUUGAUAAGAAGCACCGGCUAACUACGUGCCAGCAGCCGCGGUAAUACGUAGGGUGCGAGCGUUAAUCGGAAUUACUGGGCGUAAAGCGUGCGCAGGCGGUUUUGUAAGACAGGCGUGAAAGCCCCGGGCUCAACCUGGGAAUGGCGCUUGUGACUGCAAGGCUAGAGUAUGGCAGAGGGGGGUAGAAUUCCACGUGUAGCAGUGAAAUGCGUAGAGAUGUGGAGGAAUACCGAUGGCGAAGGCAGCCCCCUGGGCCAAUACUGACGCUCAUGCACGAAAGCGUGGGGAGCAAACAGG